AUGGACAUGUGGUUGUGCAAGGGACAGACAAGUAACAGAUGGUGUCUGAUCCAGGGAUCCUUGCCAGGAGUUCAUCAGCUCUGUGUUUGGGUAGCUCAAGUCACUCUCUGUGAGAUCAGCUUGUUGGCAGAGUGGAGAGCAGCAUCAUCCCCAUGGCCUGCUGCACAUUUCACAUGCUGCUGAAGUAAACUCACCAGAGGGCUGUGGAAAGAGUGACACUUGUGAUGCCAUCCGGACCUCACUGGAAGGAGACCUCCUCAUACAGAACUUCUGAAAACAGGUGAUGUGAUCUCUGCACUCCACUCAAGAUGGCUGGAAAACAGCUGGUUCCAAGGUGCAUGAAGAAAAACCUUGAAUCACAGGGCUCUUUAUAAACCAAAUGAGAUGUGCCUUUGUUGCCCAGAUGUAAAUGCAAUAGGAAAGUCAGGUGGGAAAGACCUGUCCCAGGAGCUAGUAUGUGGCUGAAAGUGAAGCAGACAGCAGUGAAUGUCAGCCAGGAAUGUGUAAACAUGAACAGAGUGGGAGAGAGCAAUGACUCAUUCUGGAGCAGUAGAAGAAAGACUAUUAGUUAAGCAUUUUAAUACCUUCUGGACUUUCUCCUCACCACCAUAUACUGAAUCCUCCUUUUGUAUACAAGUGGUAACUAUUACCCUAAGAAGAUUUGAAUGAAAUAUUA